CCAUCACCACUCCAUAUUGUCAGUGAACAUGGCGACUCCCGACAGUUCACAGGGGUUCAAUGCUGUUCAAGGGCAACAGAACAAGUCGAAGAAGAAUAAAAAGAUGAACAAAUCUAAAGAAGACAAAGAUGG